GGGUGACGAAAACUUUGGAAAAGUGCUGGGAAGCUACGUAGGCAUUGCUAUCGAGGGAUUUUCCGGCGGAGGCGCUGACAACAACGGUGCCUUCUUUGGCAACUUUCUGGGAUCGGUCAUUGCCGCACUUAGCUCUGAUCCUGAUGAUGAAAACCUACCUCUAAGGCCGAAGCUUUUCAUUGACAACUUUUUCGCGGGACUGCAAGAAGCCAAGCGGAAGGGUGAUCCGGAGGCAGAAGGUGCUGGACAGCAUAAGGUGAGGCCUAGACGUUUGAUACAACUCAUUCAAUAAAUUAAUCCAAACAAAUCAUUCCAAAGGGAUCGGACCUGUUCGGCUUCAUCGGUAACAUCGUGGCAUCCAUCGUCGGUGGUGUCACCAGUUUGGUUCUCAACGCAUCCCUGGGAUCAUCCGGUGGAUCCUCUCAGGGCUCAGCAGAUGCUUCCGGAGCAUCGUCAGCCGGUAGCAGUGGAGAUAGCUGCAAACAUCCUUGCGAUAGUCUCGCUCUCUAGCUCGGUUAGCGAGCUUGUAGUGUGCCAUGUGAUUUUCAUAUGUACCUUAGCCAAUAAA